UUUAUCUUUAUUUGGAGAAAGACAUUGUGUUGUACGCCUAAAUGUAUAUAAACUGCGGCUGGUAUUACGGUUACCUGUGCUAUUGCGUGCCAGAAACAAAUAAUCUGCGUGUUGCUCUUUAAUUUUGUUUUCUGUUUGUCCUUUUUCUUUUCUUGUUUGUCUUCUACAAGAGUUGCCGAUGCAAAGGCCAGUCCAGACACGGCCUUCGCAUACUGUCAUACAGGCCUGAUGGAUGUGACGUCACUGACGUCAGUGCGACUAGGCCAUCCGCGUCUACUGGGUGUGCCGGGAGUGUUGUGGAACUCCGCCGUGGUCUUGUUUUAAGUGGUUUUAGUGCACUCACUAGGCCUUCUGCCAUGCCUUACAAGUGUUGCGUUCCUUUAUGUAAAGGAAAUUACAAAAGUGGGCCAAAGGUGUGCUUAUUUUCAUUCCCAAAAGAAGAGAAGCUUGCGCGGGCUUGGCUUCAUGCUAUCAAGCAAGCAGAUUCCACCCCAACCAAAAACACCAAGGGAGGUGAGAAUAACCCACCUGGGUAUGAGGCAGUGCUACUUAUAGAGGCCUCUCAAUGAGCCAUGUGCAUCACCCCAGCAACCCUCGACUCCCAACGGCCACAAUCCGUCCAAGCAACUGCCCCAGAACACCACUGCCACCCCAGCUGAGGUCCUCUUAUGCACUGAGGCCUCCAGCAGGUCCUUCAUGGAGGGACUGGGGGUGAUUGAACAGCCACCCAUUGCCUGCAACAAAACUCUCCAAAGUGUUGGGAUGCCAGAGGGAGGUGAGAAUAACCCACCUGGGUAUGAGGCAGUGCUACUUAUAGAGGCCUCUCAAUGAGCCAUGUGCAUCACCCCAGCAACCCUCGACUCCCAACGGCCACAAUCCGUCCAAGCAACUGCCCCAGAACACCACUGCCACCCCAGCUGAGGUCCUCUUAUGCACUGAGGCCUCCAGCAGGUCCUUCAUGGAGGGACUGGGGGUGAUUGAACAGCCACCCAUUGCCUGCAACAAAACUCUCCAAAGUGUUGGGAUGCCAGAGGGAGGUGAGAAUAACCCACCUGGGUAUGAGGCAGUGCUACUUAUAGAGGCCCUCAAUGAGCCAUGUGCAUCACCCCAGCAACCCUCGACUCCCAACGGCCACAAUCCAUCCAAGCAACUUCCCCAG
rnacentral:lncRNA from 1 species